UGGGGAAUAUUGGGCAAUGGGCGCAAGCCUGACCCAGCAACGCCGCGUGAAGGAAGAAGGCUUUCGGGUUGUAAACUUCUUUUGUCGGGGACGAAACAAAUGACGGUACCCGACGAAUAAGCCACGGCUAACUACGUGCCAGCAGCCGCGGUAAUACGUAGGUGGCAAGCGUUAUCCGGAUUUACUGGGUGUAAAGGGCGUGUAGGCGGGAUUGCAAGUCAGAUGUGAAAACUGGGGGCUCAACCUCCAGCCUGCAUUUGAAACUGUAGUUCUUGAGUGCUGGAGAGGCAAUCGGAAUUCCGUGUGUAGCGGUGAAAUGCGUAGAUAUACGGAGGAACACCAGUGGCGAAGGCGGAUUGCUGGACAGUAACUGACGCUGAGGCGCGAAAGCGUGGGGAGC
rnacentral:rRNA from 1 species